CUUCGGCAUGAUAACUAGGCGACUGUCUCAAUCUGCUCCACGACUUAGCCCUUUAAGUUGCCGAUAAAUUAUACACCACGCGGGGAUCUUACACGUUAUCGGAGUUGCCAAUGAUGACCCAAUGUUUAAAUCGUCGCGACAUUU
rnacentral:snoRNA from 1 species